rnacentral:lncRNA from 1 species
CGGUAAAGAUGUAAAAAUCACCAUGACAUUGCUUAGGUCCAGUUUCUGGUUAUGGAUUGGAUUUUCAAAUAUUUAGGCACAAUUUACCUAAUAAUUAAAAAACAUAUGUUACACACUGCUCCAAAUCAUUAUUUAUCUUUUCCAUUUUUUUGUUUGCUAUUCAACAUUCUGAUCUCCUUGGCUUGUUCCUUACCUGUAACGAUGAUUGAAUGCCAACUCAACAUGAGAGUUAGUUCUUGUUUUUCCAUUCCCGUUUUGAGAAACAUGAUGGUGAUGCACCAUUAGGGUCUAAAGCUGCACUAAAACUGGUCAGCAACCAAACAUGAGACAUUUUGGUCUUAUUAGCAAUCUUCAAACUCUUUGCUAAACAAUAAUAACAUGAUUAUAAGAUUUAAGAUGCAUAACCCACUGCUUAAGAUGUGCACCUCAUCUUAUUUUGCACAAAGUCAUUUCAAGAGGAACGAAUGGCAAAAAAAUGCUCUUUUUCUGUUAUCCAUGCAUGUAAAUUUGUGUAAAAGCUGAUCUAACUGCAGCAGGACACUAAAUAACCAGUUUCAUCAUUGAUGAUUGAUCUAAACAACAUUGCUUCAGCCUGACUAGAUGCUCCCGAAUAAUCAGCAUCACAUAGUACCAAGAGUGCUCUUGCACUCUCCAGUCUGCAGCAAAAGUUUCUAGCUUUACCUGGAGGUUUCUUUAAAGUUAUGAACCUACCUUGUAUGAAUACACCUAUUAUGUGCUUAUAUACUCACAAUCAUAAUGAGUGAGGAUGAUUAAUACAUUUAUGUCACUGCGCUCCACCUGGUCAUGUGCCCACCUUGCAUGCUUCCAUUUAAUCUCUCUCUAUUCUUUCAAAAGACUGCAUUCUCCUUGGGGUUUCUUUCUCAACUAUAUGCAUCAUAUCAUCUUCUAUGCCAAAGUAUUCUGUACCUGAAUCACACUAGUGAAGCCAUGAUGUUAUCGCUGAUGUGGCCCUCAUGCCUGCACAAGUCCCCUUCAUGGGGGACUUGAAUUUUCAAAUUCCUU